UCUGGGCAGCUCCCAACAGAAUAUUAAAAACACAAUAAAACACCAAAAAUUAAAAGCUAAAACAGGGCUGCCUUCAGAUGUCUUCUAAAAGUCAGAUAGUUGUUUAUUUCCUUGACAUCUGAUAGGGCAUUCCACAGGGCGGGCGCCACUACUGAGAAGGCCCUCUGCCUGGUUCCCUGCAAUUUUACUUCUCGCAGUGAGGGAACUGCCACAAGGCCCUCAGAGCUGGACCUCAGCAUCCGGACUGAACGAUAGGAGUGGAGAUGCUCCUUCAGGUAUACUGGGCCAAGGGCUUUAAAGGUCAGCACUUUAAAUUGUGCUCAGAAGCAUACUGGGAGCCAAAAGUGUGCAUAUAAGAAAAGAGACAUUGAUCAUAAGUCUUGUAUGUUAUGGUACCAUUCUAGGUGGGUGGGUGGGAAACAUGCUCUAUAAUUUGAUAUGUCCAUUCUUAUAGUAUGCCAUAUAUAC